UUUCUUUAAAUUUGUUUGCAAUUUAACAAGUAAAUUGUCCAUUUUCUCUGGGAUAAUAUGGGUUCAUCUUCGUCGAAACCAGUUCUAACAGAUAAAGAAAAAGGACUUAUAGCUAAUACCAGACAAUAUGUUAAGAAAGAUGGACUUGAUGGUGUAAAUAAUUUCUACAAUGAUCAAUUAGUUCCUACUUGAGAAAACUUUGAGUUAAAUUUCGCCGUAACUGGAUCAAGCAAUUCAGGAAGGUUGUCAUUCAUCAACGCUUUUGCAGGAUUAAAAGCUUGCAAACAAGAGGCAUAUCCAAAUGACAUAUCUACAUUGGGAGCUACGAAUCUUCAUUUUAAAUACAAAAAUGUCGAGCUCUGGGAUCUACCUGGCAUCGGAACACCUGAAAAUCCCAAUCUUGAAACAUUUUGCAGGAACAUCGGUGAUCUCCUGAAGUACGUCGCAUUUCUGAUACUUAGCAAAUGAAGAUUUACAGAAAAUGAAAUACAACUGGUUAAGAAAAUUUCAAAAGAGCUCCAUAGACCUUUUGUUUGUGUUCAUACGUAUGCAAAUAUAGACGUUAACAAUGCCGAAGAGGUCGGUGGAUUACAGAUCGACAAAGAAACUGCAAUGGAGGAAAUAAAGAAAUGCUGCUUAAAUAACCUUAAACGUUUUGGUAAAAGAUGCAACUGAUAUCUACGUAAUCGACGAUAAUGACAGGGGAAGAUAUGAUUUGGACUGUCUGCCUGAAGAAGUCAUCUUGAAGUUGCUGAAACGUCGAAAAGAUUACUUUUUGAAUUGCUUGAAACACGUCAUUUACAAAAACAAGGAAUUAACCGAAGUAAAAAGACGUUUAGCAGAAGCUGCGUUUCACGUUAAAAAAUAUGGCUUAGUUGAUGUUGAUGAAUUUAUUCGAAAUCAAAUUAAAUCCUGGGAAAAUACAGAAAUAAAUCUUGCAAUUACAGGAGACUCUGGGACUGGAAAAUCAUCUUUUAUCAACGCCAUAAGAGGACUUAAAGCUUAUGAAAAAGGUACAGCACCAGUUGAUGUUACCGAAGUGAAAAUACUGCCCACUGAGUACGUUU